CCGAGUUUACAACUCCCAAACCCCAUGUGAACAUACCUAAUACGUUGCCUCGGCGGGAUCACGCCCCGGCGCCCGUAAAAAGGGAACAGGCGCCGCCCGAGGAACCACCUAAACUCUGUCUGUUAGUCCCUCGGGAUACGGUCUGAGUAAACAAAUCAAAUAAUCA
rnacentral:misc_RNA from 1 species